rnacentral:rRNA from 1 species
UACGUAGGGGGCUAGCGUUGUCCGGAUUUAUUGGGCGUAAAGAGCGUGUAGGCGGCCAUACAGGUCAGCUGUGAAAACUCGAGGCUCAACCUCGAGAUGUCGGCGGAAACCGUCUGGCUAGAGUCCGGAAGAGGAGAGUGGAAUUCCUGGUGUAGCGGUGAAAUGCGCAGAUAUCAGGAAGAACACCUAUGGCGAAGGCAGCUCUCUGGGACGGUACUGACGCUGAGACGCGAAAGCGUGGGGAGCGAACAGG